GUUUUGUUCCAGAAUUUACGCCCUUUAGACUUUGAACUUUGAAGACAAUAUCUUCCCUCGGCCACGACGUACAACAAAGAGACCACACCUUGACCUGGGUGAGCAAAAGUUCCAAAAAUCAGCAAGCAUUACAACGGGAAAAAAAACAAAAAAACAAAACUCUGUUGUGUCCGCGUGUGGUGUUUAGAAAAUGAAACAGAAGUUUGGAGGGGGCAGACAACCCACGGGUACUCCGUCGCUGGCGUGGUCGUGUGCUGUUAUUGUGGUCUCGCUCCUCGCAGGCGCAUCCGUUGUCCAUAACACAUAUAAGCCUGAUCUCACAUUGCCUCCAGUGGAGAGUGUUAAUGGGGCUAAGCUGAAACAACCGGAGAAGGAAUGACUUUGGUCUUUUCGGCAUUAUGGUGGACCCAUAUUGAUUUCAAUACAGUCUGAGAAGGAAUGAAAUUUGGUCUUUUCUUGUCACAAGAAGCUCGAAAAAAGUUGUCGCCAUUUGAUUCUAGGCAAACUUCUCCAAAGCUGCCUUAGCCUUUGCGCUCUCUCUAUGUUCUUCAUCUUCAGCCUUGAAUAUCUCUGCUUCCCUGACCAUUCUAUUUAUCUCUUCACUAGACAGUCUUGCCUUGUGAUUGGUGAUG